rnacentral:rRNA from 1 species
AGAACGAACGCUGGCGGCAUGCCUAAUACAUGCAAGUCGAACGAACUCUUCGGAGUUAGUGGCGCACGGGUGCGUAACGCGUGGGAAUCUGCCCCUUGGUUCGGAAUAACAGUUGGAAACGACCGCUAAUACCGGAUGAUGACGAAAGUCCAAAGAUUUAUCGCCAAGGGAUGAGCCCGCGUAGGAUUAGCUAGUUGGUGAAGGUAAAGGCUCACCAAGGCAACGAUCCUUAGCUGGUCUGAGAGGAUGAUCAGCCACACUGGGACUGAGACACGGCCCAGACUCCUACGGGAGCAGCAGUAGGAUAUGACAAGUAGGGGAACCUGAUCCGA